rnacentral:tRNA from 1 species
GCCCUGGAAGCUUGUUUUAAGUAGCGGCCUUGUAAACCGAAGAUUGUGAUACUAAAUCUCUCAGGGCA